rnacentral:rRNA from 1 species
UACGUAGGGUGCAAGCGUUGUCCGGAAUUAUUGGGCGUAAAGAGCUCGUAGGCGGUCUGUUGCGUCGGCUGUGAAAACCCGGGGCUCAACCCCGGGCCUGCAGCCGAUACGGGCAGACUAGAGUUCGGCAGGGGAGACUGGAAUUCCUGGUGUAGCGGUGAAAUGCGCAGAUAUCAGGAGGAACACCGGUGGCGAAGGCGGGUCUCUGGGCCGAUACUGACGCUGAGGAGCGAAAGCGUGGGGAGCGAACAGGAUAGAA